rnacentral:tRNA from 1 species
GUCCAUGGUAGCCAAGUGGACAUGACAUCUGCUCGAUAAGUGGAACACUAUGGGUUCGUUUCCCAUCCCUGGACA